GCCUGGUCUGAGUGAAGUGGUGUGCACAACUAAUUGAUCACAACCAGUUACAGAUUCCUUUGUUCCUUCUCCACUCCCACUGCUUCACUUGACUAGCCUUAA
rnacentral:Y_RNA from 1 species